GGCUCUGUCACCAUGGGAACAUGCCUGGGGUGUGGGGGAAGGAGUAUCUACCCUUCCUCUGGACCGGACCGGACCAUCUGGAUCCUCCUCUGAGUGUGUGGUCGGGGGCCAGAGCUCCCUCAGCCCAGGUCGCGAUGCCUGAGCUGACCUCACGUAGGAAUCACCAGUUCUCCUUGAAGACAAUGGUUACCCAUAAAAAUCUACCCUCCCCCCCAUGACAAACAGAUGAGUGGGGUUUUGUACACAGCCCCCUUCUCUGGGACACGUGGGAUCUGGCCUGAGUCCUUCACCACCAUCUGCUGCUGCCCAGCGCCAAGCUCUCCCAGGAUGUGGCCUCCGGGGACAGCUAGCUCCAGCCCCUCAUGCCCUUGGAAAGGCCUAGAAGGUAUGGAAGAGUGAGGCCACCUGCCAGGCCUCCCAAAGUUUUCUCCUUGAACUCCAGCUGUGGGGCUCCUGCGGACUCAGCACUUGCCUUUCUCCCUUGAGGCUCACACGGCUGCGUUCCUCCCUGUCCAACUGUUCCAAGCAGCAACACGAAGUUUGGUGACCAUCAGGCAGAGCCUUCUGCUUCCUUGAGGAAGAGCAGCAGUGUUUCUUGGGGCUCCACAAGGCUCAGGUCCUGGCUGUUUCUUGCGCUCUGACCUAGUUUCCACCAACCAGCUCUGGAGGGACAGGUUCACACAGCAGGUUGACUCCAGUGAGGUCUGGGAUGUGCCCGUCACAUGACUCAGUGUCCUUGCAUGCAUCUGGGGGCCUUGCUUGAUGGGCUGGCAGAGGCUAGGAGCUGGACACUGGUCCUCCCCACCGCGCUGGGCCUGGGGAACAGGCCUGGUGAGGCUGGCGGGGUAGAGGGAAGCCUCAGGCCUCCUGUCACAAUGGGAACCCCAGGAUUAGAAAUAGAGCGUCAAUAAGGAGAUGGGUCCAAGCAGCCUGCC